rnacentral:lncRNA from 1 species
UUUUUUUUUUUUUUUUUUUUUUUCUCUGCUCGAGCCGGGACAGCCAUUUUCACCCACCCUCCCACACAGGUGCACCUGGUCCUCAGGCCUCCGGACUCAGACUGAAUGAAUUACAUCAGCUGCUUUCCUGGUUCCCCAGCUUGCAGAUGGCAGGUCAUGGCUUCUCAGCUCCCACAACGGGGUGAGCCAAAUUUCUGCAAUAACAGAAUUUGGCUUCAAAUCCAUCCAUCCAUCCAUCCAUCCAUCCGUGUAUGUCCCAUUGGUUCUGUUUCUCUGGAGAACCCUCGUACAUCUCCCUUUGUGUCCAUCUUUUCCCCUAAAACGUCAGCUGCCCAAGGGCAGGGAUGGUCUGGCUUGCUCACUGCUGGUUCCCUGGGGUCUAGCAUGGAGUCUGGCAAACAGAAGAUGCUCAAUAUUUGCUGCAUGAGCCCCCACUGAAUCCACACAAAAAUCUAUUGAUGUGAUGACAAUAUCACUUCAAAAUGAAGAUAAGAAGGGUACAAGUAAUUAAGAAAAUUACCCAAAGGCCGCACAGAGCUAAAUGGUAAAACUCAGAAAUGACCCUGGGACUUUUGGAUGCCGAGCUCACACUCUUACUGAAUUGGGAAAUCCCGCAUCCGCAGUGGGGCUCCACCCUGCAGCCCAGAAGCUGCCACUGAGGCUGGCCUCCUUGAAAUCCACCAAGGCUGUACGUUGGGGGUAAAAUUCCCAGGGGACCUUCUCUGUGCCUUCAAAGCCUGGAGAAGUCAGAUCUGAAGGAGCUUAUGGGGCAGCAUGGGAGGCAGGCAUCCAAGGAAAUGGAUGAUGGGCAGGAUGACAGAAGAGCUGCAUUAGGGGACUAAAUAAGUCAUGUGAUCAGGGAAGGCAAAGGAAAGGGCUGUGGAUUCUGCCUGGGGCAGAGUGGGAGCACGGCGAGGCUCAAUGCAGCAAUCUGAGCUGAGUCUAUAAGGAUGGGCAGCAUUUUAACAGGUGCAGGGGAGGGGAGGCACCCCGGUAGAGGGAAGAGCUUGAGCAGAGAGAUCUGGACGUGUGAAUGUCUGCUGGGAAUUAGACCAGCAAAGGAUUCCCCAGAAGCAGAGCAGCGUGGGGGUGGGGGUGCAGGUGGAGGGAAAUAAUAAUGGUAAUAAAAAUAACAGCAGUGGACUUCCUGUCGUAGCACAGAGGAAACGAAUCUGACUAGGAACCAUGAGGUUUCGGGUUCGAUCCCUGGCCUCGCUCAAUGGGUUAAGGAUCUGGUGUUGCCAUGAGCUGUGGUAUAGGUCGCAGACACGACUCAGAUUCUGUGUUGUUGUGGCUGUGGUGUAGGCUGGCAGCUGUAGCUCCAAUUUGACUCCUAGCCUGGGAACCUCCAUAAGCCACAGGUGUGGGCCUAAAAAGCAAAAAAAAUAAAAAAAUAAAAAUAACAGCAGUAAUUGUAAUAACAGCAAACACACAUAUGGUGCUUACUCCGUGCCCAGGCACUGUUCUAGGCAUGUUAUGAGUGUUAGCUCAUUUAAUCCUCACAACUAAUCUAUGAGACUGGUGCUGUUAAUAUUCCAUUGUACAGAUGAGGAAGCUGAGGCACAGAGAGGUAAAGUCCUUGCCUGAGAGCUCACAGCAGGUACAUGGUGAAGCAGGGUCUCGAGCCUACGCUGCCUGGUUUUUGAGUAUAUGUCACCUCUAUGAAGGUGGUUCUCAAAGUGGGUUUCCGGACUGGCUGCAUGGGCGGCACCUGGGAACCUCUGAGAAAUGCAAAUACUCAGGCCCCUUUCAGCUGCUGGAUUGGGGAUUCCAGGGGUGGGGUGCAGUCAGCUGUGUAGAACAAGCCCUCAAGGGGGGUGCUGCAGCCAGUUCAAAGGCCCUGCACUACCAUGAACUCUCUCACCAGGGAAGGGGAGGCAGCAGAGGCGGGCGGGGCAGAUCUCGGCCCAGAGGGCCCCUCCCUCUUCUGCAGGCAACUAGGAGCUGCGAAGGCUUCCGAGGCUGAAGGCUACCUCGACUAGGUUUCCCCAGCGAAUCUGCAGAAGGCUUUGUGAUAGACUAGCAUCCGUGGGACCCAAGAUAGACCAGGCAACAUAUAACCAGAGGACUGAGGUCCCCAAGGUCAGGACAGCCACAGCCCCUGCUGACAGCAAGCACCCUGUCCAUCUGCUGUGAGGUCAACGACCUCUGACCCCACAGACCCAACCCCCUCUGCAAUCCUCAGGACCCAAAGUCAUCACCUGGAAGGUGUUUGGGGACCAACCAGGAGGACUCCUAGGGAGGAAGAGCUUGCCCAGAGUCCUCCAGCAGGUGGGAAGGUGGCCUCAAAUCUGGGUCUCCCGCCUUCCAGGAGGGGGUUUGCGCAUGAUACCCACAGAGGCCAGCCAGUGCACCCACCCACUCUUCCUGUUUGCACCAGCUAUCAGGGGGUGGUGGAUCCACAUCCCACUCUGUGCUCCAAACCGGUUUUCAUGAUCCUGAGCAAUUGCCCCAACUCUCAUGACCUCGGGGUCCCCAUCCGCAAAAGGAAGAGGCUGGACUCAAUUUCGAAUCUUGCUUCUCCCCUCCCCCAAACUUUCAGCUCUCAAAUACACACUAUUGGCCUACUGUGUGCUGGAGGGGGAGCCGUGGGCAGGUGGUGCCUUUCCUCAGAGCUCAUGGCCCUUUGGUGACCAAAAACAAAAGGGGGGGGGCAAUAUUCUGCAGGGCCACAUACCCAUUCCUCGGAGCCAGGGUACCGAACCCCCCCCCCAGAUUAAAUCAAACCCAGCCCGCAUUGGCAUCAACUCAGGCUUCCUCUUUCUCCCCUGCGGCCCUGGGGCCAGCUGGGCGGAGCAAGGAGCCUUGGGCGGGGCUGGAUUCGUAGCCCUGGCUGGAGCGGGGCCUCCACUCCCCUCCUGUCCUCCCUGUCUCCACCCGGAAAGUGGCUCACACCAAGCCUCUCACGCCUCCAGUGGGGCUGCUUGGCCGAAUCCCCAGGCACUGCGAGGGUUCUGAUGGUUCUGAGGCAGGAUGUCACUCACGGCCAAAGGAAGUGGGACAGCCAGGUUCUAAAGAGCCCGAGGAAGAGCUGGGUGAGGGCGUGUGCAUGGGGGAGGGGAAGGGGAAGUAGUGCAGAUGGGGGAGGGAGAAAGCAGACAGACAGAAGGGACGAGCACUGAGAUGGGACACAGAACCAGAAAGAAUGAGAGAGAGAUGAGGGAAGACAGAGAGUCAGGGGGAGGCAGAGUCAGGGCAGAAACAUCAACAAGCCCGGAAUGGGAAAGAGAGAGAGACAGGGAGCAACCAAAACAGAGACCAAGAAGACUCAGGGAGCAGGAGCGGACUGGAACAGGAACCUUGGCUCCUGGUUCCUGGCUCCUGGUCUCGACAACCUGGACCCACGCAGGCACCAUCAGGGCUAAAGGAGUCAUUCCCCGCCCCACCCUUGGUCCAGUCUCCUGGGGCUUCAGAGAAAGAGCAGACCAUUAAGAGUAAGGCUGCUGCUGAUCUGGCCUCCUCGGAACCCCCUACCUCCUGCCACAGGGCUCCCCAAAUUCCCACAUGCUGAGGACCACCUUCCAACACUGGCUACAUCCAGAAACCCCCUUACUCUUACGUACUUGAUAUAUAUAUAUUUUUUGUCUUUUGUCUUUUUAGGGCCACACCCGCGGCAUAUGGAGGUUCCCAGGCUAGAGGUCUAAUCGGAGCGGCUGCUGCUGGCCUGCGCCACAGCCACAGCAACGCCGGAUCCUUAACCCACUGAGUAGGGCCAGGGAUCGAACCCGCAACCUCAUGGUUCCCAGUUGGAUUUGUUUCCGCUGUGCCAAGAUGGGAACUCCCUCACUUACUUGAUAUUUUUGUUAAAUGGAGUCAAUAUUGUGAAAACAUUUUCAACUCCAACCCUCCUUGCUUAAGUUAAAAAUAUGCCCUAAUUAAAAAGUAACUGCAAAAGUGAAUGCAAAAGGAGCUUCUUUCCGCAACCAGCUGGAGGCCACCGCCUGCCACAGAGCCCAGGAGAGCCCAGCAGGGGUCUGCUCUUUGUCAACCAACAGGAUUCUGGAGAGGAGUAGAGAGUUAGCACCUAAGGCAGACUGUCCCAGAAGUCAUCAGAGGGUGGAGGGGAAGUGGAGAGGAAAGAUCUAUUUCAUUCUCCAGGGUAAAAUACAAGUUUUUUGACAGCCAAUGUUAACACCCUCCCAAACCCAACAUACACAAUGUUAUGUUUUAGUUAUACUAAAAACUCUGUGCAUGAACUUGACCAAACCUCUAAGGCCACAGUUUAAUGCCUGCAGUUCCCUUCCCCUAGAGAACCUUUCCUGCCUUCUAUUACCCAGCUAACUCCUAUUGGUCCAAUUUGUACCCCUCCUCCAGGAAGCCUUCCCUGACUGCCUCUCAUCCCUAUACCAGUUUCCUUCAAGGCACUCACUAGCCUGCAUGCCCUCUCUGGCCCGAUGCCUCCUCCACUGGAAGGUGCAGGGCUGGGCAUUUCCCACAUCUUCUUGGGACUCAGCUAGGCCCCCCACUCCCAGUGUGGGCUGCAUUUAUAUUUGUUGACUCACUGAGAGAACACACAAAUAAAGAAAUGAAGGUACCUGAGCACCCCUGGACAGGUUAAAAUCUAAACAAAACCUUUUCUGUGCGGAAAGCCUGAUGUAACAAGAAUGAAGCGACCUAGCUCCAAUUGGCCUCACUCACUUCCUGGCCCCCCAGACUCUGGGCCAGUUACCCAGCCCUAUGAGCCUCAGUUUUCUCACCUAUAAAAUGGAUGCAACAGUGUACUACCCAUAAAGAGCUAAGUACCCAGCAGGCACUCAAGUGUUAACUGCAAUCAUUAUUUUUAUUACCACCUUACACUCAUCAAAUCACAAAAUAUUAUUACUUGAAAGGACCCAAGGAAUAGAUUGAGGAUGCAGACUUUCUGUAAAAAGGCCUGCUAAUCAUUACUUUCAGUUCUGUGGACCAUAGGGUCUCUGUGGGAACUACUCAACUCUGCCUUUGUAGCAUGGAAACAGCCAUAGACAAAGUGUCAACAAAAGCACAUGGCUGCAUUCCAAUAAAACUUUAUUUACAAAAACAAGCAGGGGGCGGGAUUAGGCUCAUGGGCUGUCAUUUCCUGGCCUCUGAUCUAGGCUGUCACUGGUCCAAGUGUGAUCUUUAGACAAGCAGCACUGGAAGUUGGUUAGAAAGGCCCAGCCC